rnacentral:rRNA from 1 species
CAGUCGCCGCGGGAAUACGAAGGGUGCAAGCGUUAAUCGGAAUUACUGGGCGUAAAGCGUGCGUAGGCGGUGAGUUAAGUCUGCUGUGAAAUCCCCGGGCUCAACCUGGGAAUGGCAGUGGAUACUGGCUCGCUAGAGUGUGUCAGAGGAUGGUGGAAUUCCCGGUGUAGCGGUGAAAUGCGUAGAGAUCGGGAGGAACAUCAGUGGCGAAGGCGACUAUCUGGGCCAACACUGACACUGAGGCACGAAAGCGUGGGGAGCAAACAGGAUUAGAUACCCCCGUAGUCCCUGUCUCUUAUAC